rnacentral:rRNA from 1 species
GACGAACGCUGGCGGCGUGCCUAACACAUGCAAGUCGAGCGAAUGAAGUUCCUUCGGGAAUGGAUUUAGCGGCGGACGGGUGAGUAACACGUGGGCAACCUGCCUCAUAGAGGGGAAUAGCCUCCCGAAAGGGAGAUUAAUACCGCAUAAGAUUGUAGUACCGCAUGAUACAGCAAUUAAAGGAGCAAUCCGCUAUGAGAUGGGCCCGCGGCGCAUUAGCUAGUUGGUGAGGUAAUGGCUCACCAAGGCGACGAUGCGUAGCCGACCUGAGAGGGUGAUCGGCAAAAUGGGGAGUGAGACCCGCCCCAGACCCCUAGGGGAGGAAGAAGUGGGGAAGAUUGCACAGUGGGGGAACCCCUGAGCCAGCAACGCCGCGUGAGUGAGGCGGGCUUUGGGGUUGAAAAGCUCUGUCUUAAGGGAGGAUAAGGAGGGUACCUGAGAAGAAGCCCAGGGCUAACUAGGGC